ACCAGCGGAGCAGGAGGGAGGAGCGUGGCUGGAGGUCCAGGUGGGGGUACCCUGCAGAGCCUCCCUGUCCUGGAGAGGACAGUUCGCCUAGUUCACCCCUCAUCUGGCUUUCUGCAGGGCUCCCGGGGAAAGACUGGACCCCGCGGCGGAGUGGGCGACCCGGGGGUGGCCGGCCUCCCAGGAGAGAAAGGGGAGAAGGGCGAGUCUGGCGAGCCCGGGCCGAAGGGACAGGUGAGUUUCACCCCUGGCUCCCAGGCGGAUGCUCUCCUCCCGGGACACUUCUGACCCCGCCUUCCCCAGGUCUCCUCCCUCCCU